rnacentral:rRNA from 1 species
UGCAGUCGACGGUGAAGCCCUUCGGGGUGGAUCAGUGGCGAACGGGUGAGUAACACGUGGGCAAUCUGCCCUGCACUCUGGGACAAGCCCUGGAAACGGGGUCUAAUACCGGAUAUGACCAUUGACCGCAUGGUUGGUGGUGUAAAGCUCCGGCGGUGCAGGAUGAGCCCGCGGCCUAUCAGCUUGUUGGUGGGGUGAUGGCCUACCAAGGCGACGACGGGUAGCCGGCCUGAGAGGGCGACCGGCCACACUGGGACUGAGACACGGCCCAGACUCCUACGGGAGGCAGCAGUGGGGAAUAUUGCACAAUGGGCGAAAGCCUGAUGCAGCGACGCCGCGUGAGGGAUGACGGCCUUCGGGUUGUAAACCUCUUUCAGCAGGGAAGAAGCGCAAGUGACGGUACCUGCAGAAGAAGCACCGGCUAACUACGUGCCAGCAGCCGCGGUAAUACGUAGGGUGCGAGCGUUGUCCGGAAUUAUUGGGCGUAAAGAGCUCGUAGGCGGCUUGUCGCGUCGGAUGUGAAAGCCCGGGGCUUAACUCCGGGUCUGCAUUCGAUACGGGCAGGCUAGAGUUCGGUAGGGGAGAUCGGAAUUCCUGGUGUAGCGGUGAAAUGCGCAGAUAUCAGGAGGAACACCGGUGGCG